CGGGGUGCAGCAGGCGCGAAAACUUUGCAAUGCGGGAAACCGUGACAAGGGAACUCUGAGUGCCCGUUAAAUCGGGCUGUCCAUCGGUUUAAAUAACCGGUGAAGAAAGGGCCGGGCAAGACCGGUGCCAGCCGCCGCGGUAAUACCGGCGGCUCGAGUGGUGGCCACUAUUACUGGGCUUAAAGCGUUCGUAGCUGGUUUGUUAAGUCUCUGGGGAAAUCUUCCGGCUUAACCGGAAGGCGUCUCAGGGAUACUGGCAGACUAGGGACCGGGAGAGGUGAGAGGUACUCCAGGGGUAGGAGUGAAAUCCUGUAAUCCUUGGGGGACCACCUGUGGCGAAGGCGUCUCACCAGAACGGCUCCGACAGUGAGGGACGAAAGCUGGGGGAGCAAACCGGAUUAGAUACCCGGGUAGUCCCAGCUGUAAACGAUGUGCGUUAGGUGUAUCGGUGACCACGAGUCACCGAGGUGCCGAAGAGAAAUCGUGAAACGUACCGCCUGGGAAGUACGGUCGCAAGGCUGAAACUUAAAG
rnacentral:rRNA from 1 species